UUUUUUUUUUUUUUUUGAGUUUUUGCUCUUUCAAAGUUGUUGCUUGAAAAUAAUUAUCUGGAGGUGAUCAGUGGAUAUGAGUAUGAUGUGUUAUCUCAGUUUUUGUAGAAGCUUUUCGGGGUUCACUUCUUGUUUUUGCCUAUUUGUUAAGAGGCUCGUGUUCUUAACAAGCAUAUUUCUCUCCCUUAUAUUAAGUUAGUAAUAACUAGUGCACUUGUCUAGAAAUGACAUCCAAAUUUGUUGUUUAUAUAUUUUAUACUUUGUUGGUAUGUUUCUCAACAAUUAAAUUUGUGCAUGUCACUAGCUAAAGAGUAGUAACUCUGCUGACUUCAAUUGAUGAGUAAAGAAUUAGAAUUAACGACAGCAAGAUAGAUAUUCUCAAUCCAAACUUUCCAAAUGCAAAACGUCAUUAUUUCCCUCUCCUCAGCCAUUGGUCAUCUCUACUCUUGUUAUGCUUAAUCUAACAUGAAAUAUAGUUUUGGCAGUUCAAAUUUUUGCUGCAAAUUUCAUUUUCAUUCUGUAGCUCAUGUAUAUCAAGCUGUCAAGGUCUAGUCAAUUGCAACUGUAUAUUUCUGUUAUAACAAGCACGCAGAUCUAAGGCUACCACAAAAUCGCACAAUAACACAGUAUUGAAAAGUGAAGAAGAAUAAUAGAGGAUUUAACGUGAUUCAAUUGUAAGGUCUACGUUCACGAGCUAGACAGGAGAAAAAGAUUUCACUAUGAUGAUGAAAAGAGUAAGAUACAAU
rnacentral:misc_RNA from 1 species